rnacentral:rRNA from 1 species
UACAGAGGCCCCAAGCAUUAUCCGGAAUUACUGGGCGUAAAGCGCACGUAGGUGGCUGGGUAAGUUGGAUGUGAAAUCCCCGGGCUUAACUUGGGAAUUGCAUUCAAGACUGCCUUGCUAGAGUGUGGAAGAGGGAAGCGGAAUUCCAGGUGUAGCGGUGAAAUGCGUAGAUAUCUGGAGGAACAUCAGUGGCGAAGGCGGCUUCCUGGUCCAACACUGACACUGAGGUGCGAAAGCGUGGGGAGCAAACAGG